ensembl:snRNA U6 U6 spliceosomal RNA
GUGCUUGUUUCGGCAGCACAUAUACUAAAAUUGGAGAGAUACAGAGAAGAUUAGCAUGGCCCCUGGGCAAAGAUGACACACAAAUUCGUGAAGCAUUCCAUAUUUAA